CGACAGAUAAGGAGCUUGCUCCUUUGACGUUAGCGGCGGACGGGUGAGUAACACGUGGGUAACCUACCUAUAAGACUGGGACAACUUCGGGAAACCGGAGCUAAUACCGGAUAAUAUGUUGAACCGCAUGGUUCAAUAGUGAAAGAUGGUUUUGCUAUCACUUAUAGAUGGACCCGCGCCGUAUUAGCUAGUUGGUGAGGUAACGGCUCACCAAGGCAACGAUACGUAGCCGACCUGAGAGGGUGAUCGGCCACACUGGAACUGAGACACGGUCCAGACUCCUACGGGAGGCAGCAGUAGGGAAUCUUCCGCAAUGGGCGAAAGCCUGACGGAGCAACGCCGCGUGAGUGAUGAAGGUCUUAGGAUCGUAAAACUCUGUUAUUAGGGAAGAACAAACGUGUAAGUAACUGUGCACGUCUUGACGGUACCUAAUCAGAAAGCCACGGCUAACUACGUGCCAGCAGCCGCGGUAAUACGUAGGUGGCAAGCGUUAUCCGGAAUUAUUGGGCGUAAAGCGCGCGUAGGCGGUUUUUUAAGUCUGAUGUGAAAGCCCACGGCUCAACCGUGGAGGGUCAUUGGAAACUGGAAAACUUGAGUGCAGAAGAGGAAAGUGGAAUUCCAUGUGUAGCGGUGAAAUGCGCAGAGAUAUGGAGGAACACCAGUGGCGAAGGCGACUUUCUGGUCUGUAACUGACGCUGAUGUGCGAAAGCGUGGGGAUCAAACAGGAUUAGAUACCCUGGUAGUCCACGCCGUANACGAUGAGUGCUAAGUGUUAGGGGGUUUCCG
rnacentral:rRNA from 1 species